ncrna:unclassified sequences Glutamine-II riboswitch (downstream peptide RNA)
GUCCGUUCAUUCCCAGUGGGAACGCAUGAAACCACAUCAUGGAACGGGGGUGUGGU